AUUGAACGCUGGCGGCAGGCCUAACACAUGCAAGUCGAGCGGAGCGGCGGACGGGGGAGUAAUGCCUAUGAAUCUGCCUGGUAGUGGGGGAUAACGUCCGGAAACGGGAGCUAAUACCGCAUACUAUCAGAUGAACCUAGGUCGGAUUAGCUAGUUGGUGGGGUAAAGGCAUACCAGGGCGACGGUCCGUAACUGGUCUGAGAGGAUGAACAGUCACACUGGAACUGAGACACGGUCCAGACUCCUACGGGAGGCAGCAGUGGUGAAUAUUGGACAAGUGGCGCAAGCCUGAUCCAGCCAUGCCGCGUGUGUGAAGAAGGUCUUCGGAUUGUAAAGCACUUUAAGUUGGGAGGCGUUACCAACAGAAUAAGCACCGGCUAACUCCGUGCCAGCCGCCGCGGUAAUAC
rnacentral:rRNA from 1 species